rnacentral:rRNA from 1 species
UGGGGAAUAUUGGACAAUGGGCGCAAGCCUGAUCCAGCAAUGCCGCGUGUGUGAAGAAGGCCUUCGGGUUGUAAAGCACUUUUAUCAGGAGCGAAACGCUGUCGGCUAAUACCCGGCGGAACUGACGGUACCUGAGGAAUAAGCACCGGCUAACUUCGUGCCAGCAGCCGCGGUAAUACGAAGGGUGCAAGCGUUAAUCGGAAUUACUGGGCGUAAAGCGUGCGUAGGCGGUUUCUUAAGUCUGCUGUGAAGUCCCCGGGCUCAACCUGGGAAUGGCAGUGGAUACUGGGAGGCUAGAGUGUGUCAGAGGGUGGUGGAAUUCCCGGUGUAGCGGUGAAAUGCGUAGAGAUCGGGAGGAACAUCAGUGGCGAAGGCGGCCACCUGGGACAACACUGACGCUGAGGCACGAAAGCGUGGGGAGCAAACAGGAUUAGAUACCCUGGUAGUCCACGCCCUAAACGAUGCGAACUGGAUGUUGGUCUCAACUCGGAGAUCAGUGUCGAAGCUAACGCGUUAAGUUCGCCGCCUGGGGAGUACGGUCGCAAGACUGAAACUCAAAGGAAUUGACGGGGUCAUAGCUGUUUCCUG